CCGGUUUUCCUCCCUUAUUUAUCAUCUUCAACAGUUUCAUAGUUCAUAUUUUAUAACAUACACCUUUAUAUCUUAUACCACUUUUAAACUAUUAUCAUUUUCGCCUAUUGUCCAAUCACUGAAAAAUCAAACUCCCAUUUUUUCUUCCCGUGCCUAAUUUUUACCCCUCUAUAGGCCUCCAUAUUUUCACCUUUUUCCAGAAUCAAUUCACUUUUUAAACCUAUAACUAUUCCCAAACUAACCUUACUCCCCCCGAGUACCUGCUCCACCCCUCCAAUCCAGCAAGUUCCAUAGUCAGCAGUCCAGUUAUAGUCCUAUUAACCCAUCCUUACAAUCACCACUUCACUUUCCCUUCACCCCACCCCCUGUUUGCAGUCUUUUGCCAUCCAGGCCUCCAUAUCAGACCCCUGAGCUUCUUCUCUUCUCUGCUUAAUUUUUCCUUCUUCCCUGUGGUCAUUCUGGAGUUCCAGUAAAUCCAGUCGUGCCCCCCUCGAAGGGGAGGCACUCCAUCCAACUUUUUGUAGAGUAAAAUCAUCAUUUUUUUCGUGAUGGGCUUCAUUUUGUGUUAAAUCAUCACAGUCGUCAUCAUUGUCAUUCUCACAUUCAUCUUCUUCAGUUUCAAAAGCUUCAUCUUCUAGGAAAUCAUAUUCUGUCAUCACAAUCUGGAAUUGUUGCUGUAACACUAGCCGUUGUGUCUCCUCUUGACAUAGUUCUAUUCUUGUUUCCCACAUUAAGGUCAAAACAGUCCGCUGAAACUCAGGCGGGUACCUUUUUGUUGACAUAGUUCAGUCCUGUCAAGGUCAAAACUUGUCACAUGGGGUGGAAUAUGAUCGCAGUCUAUUUUCUCGACUCCAUUUUAACAAGCUGGCUGCAUUCUUAAAAAUAAAGUUCGAACUCACAUUUCAAAAGCAUAUAAACCAAAAAAAAAAUUCCCAAAAAGUCCAGAGAUAAAGAUAGAAAUAAAAUUUAACUAUAAAUCCUGGUCAGCUCACUGGGUUUUCUGGGCUGCCGGCUCCCGAGAAAAAGAAAGGUCUUUCUUAGUCUUAACUUCAUUCUGCAGGGCAAUCACAACAGUCUCUCUCCCCUUUUACCCUGCAUUUAGGGGAGAUUCUCUUUGAUGCCUUUGAGGAAUCCUUUUAAGUUAAAAUCUUCUGUUUACGGCUUCGGGUUUCUGUUUACUGUCUCUUAUGUUACCGUGGGGGGGGGGUGGCUUCCUCUUUUCCCCUCUCUCCCAGGUCCAAAUUGUUGCCUUAAUUUACAUUCCAAAGAAUCCAAAUUACUCACAGUCUAUUCAUUUGUUGAAUGUUCUUUGAAGAAUUGGCCACCUCCACUUCCCAGACUCGCAGCUUCGCACUCUCAGAGCAGCAAUGUCAGCCUGUCCGCCGCGGUUCACCUCCUCGCUCUCGGGGGCUUAAACAAAGCCGAUCCGGGGAGGAGAGAGCCCGCUUUUGGCGCCGCCAGGCAAAAUCUGUCCCCAAAAAGCACGAUUUGGGGCUUUUAAGGAGGUUUCGUUUCGCUGGAACGAUUCCCUCCACCUCUGAAGCGCCGAGGUCCGCUCCGCUGUGCGGACCCCCGUCUGAGCAAGAUGGCGUGGUCAACCGGAAGCCUGAAAUAUAUGUAUAAAGUUGUUGCGAUUUUAUUAUGUUUCAUUAAGUUUCCUUAGCAAUUUGGAGGUUACUGGCCAAAAGCAGCUUGCAGGCAUUUUUAAGUAUAAACAAUCAACGUUUUCAAGUUUUUCAUCUCCCAGGGCAAUUCCAUUCUGUGAAGUCAUAUCACAGUGCCCACACUCCCCUAUUCUGCUUUCUAGAAUAUUAGGUUUACCAGGUGUCUACCUGGAAAACCAUUGUGUCUCUCUAACAGCACCCAUAAGUUGCAAAAUAUUAUGCUGGGGACAGAAAGCUAAAUCCAUGCCAUCUCAUUUUCAUUAUUUGUGUAUAACAUGUCUAGCCUCUUUCCUUCUUUCCCCAACCACCGAUGGGCAAACUCCCUUUCCCUCUGGUCCUUGAAUACCUACACUUCUCCUGGAUGCCCGUGAAGGUACAGGUCCCUCCUUCCUCAGCCUGCCUCAUGAGCCCUGCCCAUCUUUGCUUGUGUUCCCUGCAGGUGGAUGGCAGUUCCUGAAGGAUGAACGCCAAGUAUGCUGUGCUCGCAAUGCUGUACUUCCUCCAAGGCAUCCCCUAUGGGCUCCAGUCUGGGCUGCUGCCUAUCUACUUCCGCACGCUGGGCCUCUCCUUUACCAAGAUCAGCCUGUCUAAGGUGCUUUAUGUGCCCUGGAUUCUCAAGGUGUUUUGGGCACCCCUGGUGGACCAGUACUUCACCAAGAGGUCAUGGCUGCUGGUCACCCUGUAUGGCUUCGUGCUGGCUUGCCUGGCCUGCUCCUUCAUGGCCCCCGAGACAAACUUCUUCCCGGUGGCCAUCGUCCUCCUGCUCAUGAACUUCUGCGCCUCCAUCCAAGACGUUGCAGUGGAUGCGGUGGCCAUCCAGCUGCUGACGCAACGUGAAAUUGGGUACGGCAACACCAUCCAGGUUGUGGCCUACAAGAUGGGCUCCGUGUUGGCAGGAGGGGGCCUGCUCACUUUCCUCGAUCACCUGGGCUGGCAGACCCUCUUUGUGGGCCUGGCCCUUGUUUACGUUGUGGCCAUUGGAGUCACCUGGAAUGCUAACCUAAAAAUGCAAGUGAGGUUCAAUCCUCAAUACAGUUGGGUCAGGCACAAAACUGCAAACCCCUGGCUCACCCUCCAAGAGCUUCUCAAGGUGCCGGACACUCACUGGACUAUUGGUUUGGUGCUCCUCUAUAAGUUGGGUGAACAAGGGGCGAUAUCCAUGUUUCCCCUCUUCCUACUGGACCAUUCCUUUUCCCCACAGGAGCUUGGCUUCUGGAAUGGGAUUGUGGCCAUGAUCUUCUCCAUUAUAGGCUCCUUACUUGGAGGCUAUCUGAUCUCAAAACAGGGGAACCCCUUUUCUAUGCUGAAGGUCUUGAUGAUAUUCCGCCUCUUCAGCCUGGUCUUCCAAACACUCCUGCUGGUUGCCUAUGAGGACAAACAAUCAGUCUUUGAAGGGGCAGCUGUGCUGAGCAUCAUCCUACAGCACUUCAUCGCUGGCCUGGUAACCACCUUAACAUUCACCUUAAUGAUGCAAUGUGCACAAAAGGCCCAGGAGAGCCUACAGGCAACUCACUACUCCCUGCUGGCCACCCUGGAAGUGCUGGCCAAAAUGGUGUUCAGCAGCCUGGCAGGCAGCCUGGUGGACUGGCUGGGCUUCACCAGUGCCUUCAGUGUUUUCCUCGCCCUCUCCAGCGUCUCUGUUGCCUACAUACUGUCUUCCAGAAGAUGAUGGCUGCUGCCACCAGGCGCAGGAAGAGGAGAACCUGGCAGGAAGCAGGGUCGUUGGGGGCCAGAGGUGGCCAAGGGGAAUUUUCAGGUCUCUGCAGCCCUGUUAAGCCACAAUUCCUCAGGGAUCGCACAGCCCUUUGUGAGGGGGAAGAGCUGGAGGGAGCUGGCUUGGCCAGGGCCUCCCUCAAAGUAAUUGUCUCAGGAACUCUCCUUCUAUUUGCCGGGGAAAGUCCACGGUUCUCCGUUCAGGCUGAACACACAAACUGGGCCCAGGUAAGAAGUGUGUUUAGACUGAAUUCCGAGGGCAGGAUCGCUGUCUGUGGCAGGGUGUGAGAGCAAAUAAAUAAACUUUUUUAAAAUAAAAAACACAGUUGGAUUUACUUCUGAGAAAAAUGCAAAUAAUAAUAAUAAUUUUUUAUUCGUACCCCGCCCAUCCAUUCUGGGCGGCUUCCAACAAAGAUCAAAAUACAUUGAAAUGUCACACAUUAAAAACUUCCCUAAACAGGGCUGCCUUCAGAUGUUUUUUUUCUAAAUGUCAGGUAGUUGUUUUUCUCUUUGACACCUGAUGGGAGGGCAUUCCACAGGGUGGGUGCCACUACCGAGAAGGCCCUCUGCCUGGUUCCCUGUAACAUGGCUUCUCGCAGUGAGGGAACCGCCAGAAGGCCUUCGGAGCUGGACCUCAGUGUGCGGGCAGAAUGAUGGGGGUGG